rnacentral:rRNA from 1 species
CGGAACACGUACAGAACCUUCCUUUGAGUGGGGGAUAGCCCGGAGAAAUCCGGAUUAAUACCCCAUAGUAUUAUUGUGUGGCAUCACAUAAUAAUUAAAGAUUUAUUGCUCAGAGAUGGCUGUGCGGCUGAUUAGGUAGUUGGUGGGGUAAAGGCCCACCAAGCCAACGAUCAGUAACUGGUGUGAGAGCACGACCAGUCACACGGGCACUGAGACACGGGCCCG